rnacentral:lncRNA from 1 species
UUGGCAUAUAAUCGACAGAUUAAAAAGGGAAAUAGUUUUGUUUGCCUUAGUCUAUACUGCGUAACACUGGAGUUAUUAUAUCGACUAAAUUAGUCCCUGGCAACAGCGUCAAAAACUUGAUCGCGACUUAGUAUGUCUAUAGGAUUUGUGAGUGCAAGUGCACAGACGUAUCACGUACUUUUAAAGAUUAUCGAACCCAAAAGACUAAUAAUCGAACUUACCGUUAUCUAAUGUUACUACGUAAAUCUAAG